rnacentral:rRNA from 1 species
AAAAAGCUCGUAGUUGGUUCUGUGUGCCAUGCUGUUGGUUCACCGCCUGCCGGUGCAACUGACAUGUCAUGGGACGUACUGUCGGUGGCUAUUAAGGCCCUAUUCUUUUGAUUUAGGUAAAACUUUAUCUAAAGGGUAGGCAACUUUAAUAGCCGAUUAACUCCUACCGCGGUGCUCUUUACUGAGUGUCGAGGUGGGCCGACAUUUUUACUUUGAACAAAUUAGAGUGCUCAAAGCAGGCAAAAAUUUGCCUGAAUAGUGGUGCAUGGAAUAAUAGAAUAGGACCUUGGUUCUAUUUUGUUGGUUUUUAAGAAUCCAAGGUAAUGAUCAAUAUGGACAGGCGGGGGCAUUCGUAUUGCGACGUUAGAGGUGAAAUUCUUGGAUCGUCGCAAGACGAACUAGAGCGAAAGCAUUUGCCAAGUAUGUCUUAAUUGAUCAAGAACGAAAGUUAGAGGCUCGAAGGCGAUCAGAUACCGCCCUAGUUCUAA